UACGGGGGGAGCAAGCGUUGUUCGGAUUUACUGGGCGUAAAGGGCGCGUAGGCGGCCACCGCAAGUCGGUUGUGAAAUCUCCGGGCUUAACCCGGAACGGUCAAUCGAUACUGCGGGGCUAGAGUGCAGAAGGGGCAACUGGAAUUCUCGGUGUAGCGGUGAAAUGCGUAGAUAUCAGGAGGAACACCUGUGGUGUAGACAGCUUACUGGACCACUUCUGACGCUGAGACACGAAAGCGUGGGUAGCAAACAGG
rnacentral:rRNA from 1 species